rnacentral:tRNA from 1 species
GCCCUGGUAGCUCAGAGGUAGAGCGUCCGGCUGUUAACCGGAAGGUCGCAGGUUCGAAUCCUGCCCAGGGCG